rnacentral:rRNA from 1 species
UACGGGGGGAGCAAGCGUUGUUCGGAUUUACUGGGCGUAAAGGGCGCGUAGGCGGUCGUGACGAGUCACUUGUGAAAUCUCCGGGCUUAACUCGGAACGGUCAAGUGAUACUGUCGGACUAGAGUACAGAAGGGGCAACUGGAAUUCUCGGUGUAGCGGUGAAAUGCGUAGAUAUCGAGAGGAACACCUGCGGCGAAGGCGGGUUGCUGGGCUGAUACUGACGCUGAGGCACGAAAGCGUGGGGAGCAAACAGG